GACAGAGGGGGCAAGCGUUGCUCGGAAUUACUGGGCGUAAAGGGCGCGUAGGCGGGAUGGCAAGUCGGUCGUGAAAUCCCUCGGCUCAACCGAGGAACGUCGAUCGAUACUGCUGUUCUUGAGGAUUGCAGAGGAGACUGGAAUUCCCGGUGUAGAGGUGAAAUUCGUAGAUAUCGGGAGGAACACCGGUGGCGAAGGCGGCGACCUGGGUCGAUACUGACGCUGAGGUGCGAAAGCGUGGGGAGCAAACAGG
rnacentral:rRNA from 1 species